rnacentral:rRNA from 1 species
GAUGAACGCUAGCGGCAGGCCUAACACAUGCAAGUCGAGGGGUAGAGGCUUUCGGGCCUUGAGACCGGCACACGGGUGCGUAACGCGUAUGCAAUCUGCCUUAUACUGGGGGAUAGCCCAGAGAAAUUUGGAUUAAUACCCCAUAGUAUUUUCGGUUAGCAUCAACUGAUUAUUAAAGUUUUUCGGUACAAGAUGAGCAUGCGUCCCAUUAGCUAGUUGGUAUGGUAACGGCAUACCAAGGCUACGAUGGGUAGGGGUCCUGAGAGGGAGAUCCCCCACACUGGUACUGAGACACGGACCAGACUCCUACGGGAGGCAGCAGUGAGGAAUAUUGGUCAAUGGUCGCAAGACUGAACCAGCCAUGCCGCGUGCAGGAUGAAGCAUCUAUGGUGUGUAAACUGCUUUUGUACGGGAAGAAACACUCCUACGUGUAGGGGCUUGACGGUACCGUAAGAAUAAGGAUCGGCUAACUCCGUGCCAGCCGCCGCGGUAAAAC